rnacentral:rRNA from 1 species
GACGAAGGAUUCAAGCGUUGUCCGGAUUUACUGGGUUUAAAGGGUGCGUAGGCGGAAAGCUAAGUCAGUGGUGAAAGCCCGCAGCUCAACUGCGGAACUGCCAUUGAAACUGGCCUUCUUGAAUACAGUGGAGGUAGAUGGAAUAUAACAUGUAGCGGUGAAAUGCUUAGAUAUGUUAUAGAACACCGAUUGCGAAGGCAGUCUGCUACACUGUCAUUGACGCUGAGGCACGAAAGCGUGGGGAGCGAACAGG